rnacentral:rRNA from 1 species
UACACAUGCAGUCGAACGCUGUGCUAUCCAUCCCGAGUGCUUGCACUCAAUUGAAAAGAGGACGGGCGGACGGGGGAGUAACACGUGGGUAACCUACCCAUCAGAGGGGGAUAACACUUGGAAACAGGUGCUAAUACCGCAUAACAGUUUAUGCCGCAUGGCAUAAGAGUGAAAGGCGCUUUCGGGUGUCGCUGAUGGAUGGACCCGCGGUGCAUUAGCUAGUUGGUGAGGUAACGGCUCACCAAGGCCACGAUGCAUAGCCGACCUGAGAGGGUGAUCGGCCACACUGGGACUGAGACACGGCCCAGACUCCUACGGGAGGCAGCAGUAGGGAAUCUUCGGCAAUGGACGAAAGUCUGACCGAGCAACGCCGCGUGAGUGAAGAAGGUUUUCGGAUCGUAAAACUCUGUUGUUAGAGAAGAACAAGGACGUUAGUAACUGAACGUCCCCUGACGGUAUCUAACCAGAAAGCCACGGCUAACUACGUGCCAGCAGCCGCGGUAAUACGUAGGUGGCAAGCGUUGUCCGGAUUUAUUGGGCGUAAAGCGAGCGCAGGCGG